rnacentral:tRNA from 1 species
AGUCUUAUAGUCAAAAAUGACAUUAAAUUGCAAAUUUAAAGGAAAAAUAUAAGUUUUAAGGCUU